rnacentral:lncRNA from 1 species
UCUCUCUCUCNCUCUNUCUCUCNCUNUCUNUCUCUCUCUCUCUCUCUCUCUCUCUCUCUCUCUCUCUCUCUCUCUCUCUCUCUCAUGCUUUUAAGCUUCACAGUGUACCCAAUUCUGUUGCUUGUUUUGAUUGUUUUUUGAUUAGGAUUUAGGAUGGUUGAUUAGGAUGGUUGCGAUCAAAUAUAGGCUUUGAGAGAUGCGGUGGAAGUGAGAUGGUUGCAUCUAGUUUAUAUGAAUUAGUUAUACUGUUGAUUAUGUGAUAGGAGCACAAAGUGUGACGUUCUUAAUAUGUUUAUACCCUUUAUUUACCCUUUGUUAACUCCUAUUUAGUUGUUUUAGCUUUAUAUUUGUGUUUAGUGUAGAAUAAUUGCUUAAUGUAGAAAUAUGUAGGUUUUAGUGUUAGAAUACAUAGUAUUUUCGGAUUUGAAUAAUUUGGUGUUGAAAUUGUGCCAAGUGUUGGAAAUCCUUGUUUACUCAGGAUUCCUUUCUUGAUCAGGAUUCCAUCUUUCCUCUUUCCUAGUUUUUAAUUUUCUUAUUUCUAUUUCAGGAAAGUCUAAACCCGUGUUGACUAGGAAAAUUUUUUCCUGACUCAUGAGAGAAAGGUGGCCGGCAGCUAGGAAUUCCUGCUUGAGCUAGGAGAAGUACAAUCCGAGAUAUGUAUGGAGAUGCCGUGAAGAUUUCGAUUCCCAAGUCACCAACGAGAGAGAAACCGUGCGGCCCAAGAGAGAAGAUUUUUCCAAGUUCAAGAUGGUUUUGUCAUUCCUUAAUGUAUGAGGAUUACUUGAAGAACAAGAGAAGAAAUUAAAUCCAACUUGGACUUGGUUUUGCCGAUUCAAUAGGAUUCCUUGUGCUUGAGGAAUUCUUGGAGAUCAAGACUUGUUACUCUAUAAAUAGGGCACGGCAUGGCAGCAAUUAUCAUCAUCAACCUGUGCAAAUAACACCAAAGUCUUUGCCGAAACUCCAUCAACCUCCAAACACGAUAAUCCGAUUCCACCAUCAUCCUUGAUCCAAAGCACGUAGCCUAGGAUUCCGCUCACUCGAAGAAUAGAACAAGUAGGGAUAUUCUGAGAGUGUAUUUCAUCUUUUACUUUCGGAUUAGUAUGUGUUUGUUCUUCUUGAUGUUUGUUUUAGGUUUUUGCUUAAGUAUGUUUUGAUUCUUUUCU